rnacentral:rRNA from 1 species
GUCAGCUCGUGUCGUGAGAUGUGGUUAAGUCCCGCAACGAGCGCAACCCCUAUUGUUAGUUGCCAUCAUUCAGUUGGGCACUCUAGCGAGACUGCCGGUAAUAAACCGGAGGAAGGUGGGGAUGACGUCAAAUCAUCAUGCCCCUUAUGACCUGGGCUACACACGUGCUACAAUGGUUGGUACAACGAGUUGCGAGUCGGUGACGGCGAGCUAAUCUCUUAAAGCCAAUCUCAGUUCGGAUUGUAGGCUGCAACUCGCCUACAUGAAGUCGGAAUCGCUAGUAAUCGCGGAUCAGCACGCCGCGGUGAAUACGUUCCCGGGCCUU